rnacentral:lncRNA from 10 species
UGGGACAAUCUGUGCAAUGGGACGAUCGGUACAAUGAGUGUCCAUCAGAAGGCCCCUGCUGAGUAGUUGGCAGGGUGGCUGCACAUAAUGGAAAGCACAUAAGCUUGAAGCCAGACAGAUGGGAGUUCUAACCCCAGCCCUGCCACUUAUUCCCAGGUGACACUGAGUGGAAAUUAGGCCAAAAUAAAUACUACUUUCUGCUUAAAAAAAUGCAGUGAUGUCCAAAGAGAAGGGAGGAGGAAGGAUGAAAGGAAAGACAGAGGAGGAAGGAAGAGAAGAAAGAAGAGUGGCCGGCACAAGGGCUUGGAGAUCCCUGAAGCUGUUUUCCUUUCUCCUCACCCCCACAGGGAGGGAUCCACAUCGUUGUGGGGUUUUUGUUGUUGUUGUUUUUGUUUUUGUUUUUUUGCCUCCCUUCAUCAAAGCAUUCAUUGUAGUGUAUGGUAAUUGUCUCUGAAUGUAACAGCCUCUCUUCCCUGAGGCCUGGGUCUGCUUGUUUCAUACCAUCUUCUCCUUAACACACAGUGCUUGGUAAACAAUACCUAUUAAUAAAC